UACGAAGGGGACUAGCGUUGUUCGGAAUUACUGGGCGUAAAGCGCGCGUAGGCGGAUCGCUAAGUCAGGGGUGAAAUCCCAGGGCUCAACCCUGGAACUGCCUUUGAUACUGACGAUCUGGAGAUCGGGAGAGGUUGGUGGAAUUCCGAGUGUAGAGGUGAAAUGCGCAGAUAUCAGGAGGAACACCAAUGGCGAAGGCAAUUAACUAUUCUAUUUCUGACGUUGAGGCAUGAAAGCGUGGGGAGCAAACCGG
rnacentral:rRNA from 1 species